AUGUAUUCUUUAAAUACGUUGAAAGAUGCUCGUGGUGAAUACUGUGCAUACAAGUUGGACCUUGCAAAAGCAUAUGACAGUGUGGAUUGGAAAUUCUUGGAACGUGUGCUUCAAGCUUAUGGUUUUGCCCCAAUAUGGAUUGAGUGGAUUAUGACGUGCGUUACCAUAGUGAAAUUUUCAGUUCGAUUUAAUGGUCAAUUGCUAGACUAUUUUCAUCCUUCACGUGGUCUUAGGCAAGAGGACCCUCUUUCUCCGUACUUAUUCCUCUUUGUGCCUGAAGCCCUAUUAUUGUUGCUUAAUGAUGCUUCGACAAGAGGGAUUAUCCAGGAUUUCCACCUAAACAGACAUGCUCCAGGUAUAUCUCAUUUACUUUUUGCUGAUAAUAGUCUCCUAUUCUUUAAAGGUAAUUUGGAGCAAGCUCUAAACAUAAAGGGUAUAUUGUCGGUUUAUGAGGAGGGGACGGGUCAAUUAUUAAGUACGGAUAAAUGCUCCAUCUUAUUUGGCAAGAAAUGCUCUAUAGAAGACCAGGUGUCCAUCUUGGUUAUCCUUAAAAUAGCGAUCGAUGGAUUUGAGGACAAAUAUCUUGGUUUGCCUGUGUCAGAAGGUCGUAUGAAGGCGGGCAAGUUUCAUUCUACUAAAGAUAAAAUGCUCAGGCGGGUCUCGGACUGGUUCGAAAAAUAUGCUUCUAGCGGAGUGAAGGAAAUCCAGAUUAAGUCUGUUAUCCAGGCUAUCCCGGUCUAUGUCAUGUGUAUUUUUAAGUUUCCUGCUUCACUUUGUGAUGAGUUGUUCCAGAUUAUCAGGAAUUUUUGUGGGCAGAUGAGGAGAAUAGGAAAAGAACUCAUUGGUUGGCUUGGGAUAAUAUGA
rnacentral:rRNA from 1 species